GACGAACGCUGGCGGCGUGCUUAACACAUGCAAGUCGAACGGGAAGGCCCUGCUUUUGUGGGGUGCUCGAGUGGCGAACGGGUGAGUAACACGUGAGUAACCUGCCCUUGACUUUGGGAUAACUUCAGGAAACUGGGGCUAAUACCGGAUAGGAGCUCCCGCUGCAUGGUGGGGGUUGGAAAGUUUCGGCGGUUGGGGAUGGAUUCGCGGCUUAUCAGCUUGUUGGUGGGGUAGUGGCUUACCAAGGCUUUGACGGGUAGCCGGCCUGAGAGGGUGACCGGCCACAUUGGGACUGAGAUACGGCCCAGACUCCUACGGGAGGCAGCAGUGGGGAAUAUUGCACAAUGGGCGGAAGCCUGAUGCAGCAACGCCGCGUGCGGGAUGACGGCCUUCGGGUUGUAAACCGCUUUCGCCUGUGACGAAGCGUGAGUGACGGUAAUGGGUAAAGAAGCACCGGCUAACUACGUG
rnacentral:rRNA from 1 species